ACGAACGCUGGCGGCGUGCUUAACACAUGCAAGUCGAACGGAAAGGCCCUGCUUUUGUGGGGUGCUCGAGUGGCGAACGGGUGAGUAACACGUGAGUAACCUGCCCUUGACUUUGGGAUAACUUCAGGAAACUGGGGCUAAUACCGGAUAGGAGCUCCUGCUGCCUGGUGGGGGGUGGGAAGUUUCGGCGGUUGGGGAUGGACUCGCGGCUUAUCAGCUUGUUGGUGGGGUAGUGGCUUACCAAGGCUUUGACGGGUAGCCGGCCUGAGAGGGUGACCGGCCACAUUGGGACUGAGAUACGGCCCAGACUCCUACGGGAGGCAGCAGUGGGGAAUAUUGCACAAUGGGCGGAAGCCUGAUGCAGCAACGCCGCGUGCGGGAUGACGGCCUUCGGGUUGUAAACCGCUUUCGCCUGUGACGAAGCGUGAGUGACGGUAAUGGGUAAAGAAGCACCGGCUAACUACGUG
rnacentral:rRNA from 1 species